rnacentral:rRNA from 1 species
CGUAGACGGUUUUGUAAGUCAGAUGUGAAAUCCCUGGGCUCAACCUGGGAACUGCAUUUGAAACUGCAUGGCUAGAGUAUGGUAGAGGGAAGUGGAAUUUCCGGUGUAGCGGUGAAAUGCGUAGAUAUCGGAAGGAACACCAGUGGCGAAAGCGACUUCCUGGACCAAUACUGACGUUCAUGUGCGAAAGCGUGGGGAGCAAACAGGAUUAGAUACCCUGGUAGUCCACGCCAUAAACGAUGACAACUAGAUGUUGGGAGGGUCUGCCUCUCGGUGUCGCAGCUAACGCGUUAAGUUGUCCGCCUGGGGAGUACGGCCGCAAGGUUGAA